CUACGGAGGGGGCUAGCGUUGUUCGGAAUUACUGGGCGUAAAGCGCACGUAGGCGGCUUUGUAAGUCAGAGGUGAAAGCCUGGAGCUCAACUCCAGAACUGCCUUUGAGACUGCAUCGCUUGAAUCCAGGAGAGGUCAGUGGAAUUCCGAGUGUAGAGGUGAAAUUCGUAGAUAUUCGGAAGAGCACCAGUGGCGAAGGCGGCUGACUGGACUGGUAUUGACGCUGAGGUGCGAAAGCGUGGGGAGCAAACAGGAUUAGAAACCCUAGUAGUCC
rnacentral:rRNA from 1 species